GCUAUGCUGUCAUUCUGAAUAGAUCUGUUUGACUUAUCACUUAAAAGUAAGUGUUUUCACACAUUAAAACAGAAAUUCAGAUUUUAAUUAACCCAGUGAAUUUGCCUGAAAAUAUGCUCCCUGGAACACAACUAAGUCGUGCUUAUGAUAAAGAUGUGGCUGGAAAGGGAGAUGUCUACCGUUUUCUGAAUAAAACAUAAGAUUUUGCCAUCGAUGCAAGUUCUGGUGUAAUCACUGCUACCAAAAUUUUUAAUUAUGAAACAGAUCCAAUAAGGUUUCUUCUGAUAGUUGAUACUGGGAGGCUCUAUAGACAUGAUUUGACCAUUAAUAUUAUUGAUGUUCCCGAAUCUCCAAACUGUACUGCUGAUCCCAAAUUUUCUUCAGGCACAGGUAUGAUGCGUUAUCUUCCUAUAGUUUACUUCUAAAAGCUAU
rnacentral:lncRNA from 1 species